GAUGGUUGGACUUCCUGGAGUACCCAAAAGCAUAACCUUCUAUGUUCCGGAAUUGUUCCUGACGCUGACUGGCCAUGCGUCGGUGGGAACUGAAGUGCCGUCACACACAUUGCAUGCUGAUUGGAUGCCCUUGUGGGAUUGGCUCAAUUCGGGUUUCUAGAGCAGACGUACGAGCGGAUGGCCAU